rnacentral:rRNA from 1 species
GAUGAACGCUAGCGGCAGGCCUAACACAUGCAAGUCGAACGGUAACAGGGAAAAGCUUGCUUUUCCGCUGACGAGUGGCGCACGGGUGCGUAACGCGUAUAGAACCUACCUUUUGCAGGGGGAUAGCCCGGAGAAAUCCGGAUUAAUACCCCGUAGUAUUAUGAUUUGGCAUCGGAUUAUAAUUAGAGAUUCAUCGGCAAAAGAUGGCUAUGCGUCCUAUUAGCUGGAUGGUGAGGUAACGGCUCACCAUGGCUACGAUAGGUAGGGGCCCUGAGAGGGGGAUCCCCCACACUGGUACUGAGACACGGACCAGACUCCUACGGGAGGCAGCAGUGAGGAAUAUUGGACAAUGGGCGAGAGCCUGAUCCAGCCAUGCCGCGUGCAGGAAGACGGCCCUACGGGUUGUAAACUGCUUUUAUACGGGAAGAAUAAGGGGCACGUGUGCCCUGAUGACGGUACCGUAAGAAUAAGGACCGGCUAACUCCG